rnacentral:tRNA from 2 species
GGAAGGGUGGCCGAGUGGUUUAAGGCAGCGGUCUUGAAAACCGCCGAGGUUAAUAGCCUCCGUGAGUUCGAAUCUCACCUCUUCCGCCA